GGAGAGAUGGCUGAGUGGUCUAAGGCGGCGGUCUCGAAAAUCGCUGUGGGGGCAACCUCACCGAGGGUUCAAAUCCCUCUCUCUCCGCCA
rnacentral:tRNA from 1 species